CCCCUGGUGGUCUAGUGGUUAGGAUGCAGCGCUCUCACUGCCGUGGUCCGGGUUCGAUUCCUGGUCAGGGAA
rnacentral:tRNA from 1 species